rnacentral:rRNA from 1 species
UACAGAGGGUGCAAGCGUUAAUCGGAAUUACUGGGCGUAAAGCGUGCGUAGACGGUUAUGUAAGUCAGAUGUGAAAGCCCCGGGCUUAACCUGGGAAUGGCAUUUGAGACUGCAUAGCUAGGGUGCGGAAGAGGGAAGCGGAAUUUCCGGUGUAGCGGUGAAAGUGGCGUAGAUAUCGGAAGGAACACCAGUGGCGAAAGCGGCUCCUGGUCCAGCACCGACGUCAGGCACGAAAGCGUGGGGAGCAAACAGG